rnacentral:misc_RNA from 1 species
AACGCAUAUUGCGCCCUUUGGCAUUCCGAAGGGCAUACCUGUUCGAGCGUCAUUACACCUCUCAAAGGUAACUCUUUGGCGUUGGGCAAUGCCUAAAGGCAUGCCUCAAAAUCAGCGAUGGUGAUAUUCAACCACAGGCGCACAAACGUCGUCUAGCUGGCGGGAUGUUGUCAGUCAAUUGAUGAAUUUCUAAUUAUUGACCUCGGAUCAGGUAGGAAUACCCGCUGAACUUAA